rnacentral:rRNA from 1 species
GCGAAGCCUGAUGGAGCAACGCCGCGUGCAGGAUGAAGGCCUUCGGGUUGUAAACUGCUUUUAUAUGUGACGAUUAUGACGGUAGCAUAUGAAUAAGGAUCGGCUAACUCCGUGCCAGCAGCCGCGGUAAU